rnacentral:rRNA from 1 species
GAGUAAUGAAUCGCUAAUGUACCCCGGACUCUGGGAUAGCCAGCCGAAAGGUUGGGUAAUACCAGAUGAUAUGCAGCUGUCGCAUGACAGUUGCCGCAAAGGUCCGCCGGUCUGGGAGCAGGCGAUUUCGUAUCAGCUUGUUGGUGAGGUAACGGCUCACCAAGGCGACGACGCGUAGCCGGACUGAGAGGUUGGCCGGCCACAUUGGGACUGAGGAGCACUGCCCAGACUCCUACGGGGGGCUGCAGUAACGAAUCUUCCGCAAUGCACGAAAGUGUGACGGAGCGACGCCGCGUGUGGGACGAAGCCCUUCGGGGUG